rnacentral:lncRNA from 1 species
UUUGCUUAUUUCAUGACUUAGAAAAUGGAGGAUGAACCAAGUUUUAACCCUUUUUGGUUUUUAGAUCAUGUUGGUGUUACCACUUCCCGUGUUCAUCUUUAAGGGGGGCUAUCAGCUAUGGAUGAAUUUGGAUUGAGAUCUAUUCCCAAUUUGCAUAAUAUAUAUAUCGGCACUUGUUUCCUUAUCAUCAAGGUUGGGCGGCAGGGGUGUAUCAAACUUACAUAGAUGGCUGUACAAGGCAAAGACCAAGGCUACAAUCUUGUUCUAGAAUUCAAUGGAGCAAUUUUGGUGUUGUAAAAGAUCAAAGUAACUCGUCUUCAGAGUUUUGGACCUUGCAACGGGUCUUGUGCCAAACCUAGGACCAACGUGUCUGAAUCUGCAACAUGUGGUGGUCAAAGCCAAGUUGUAUCU